GACGAACGCUGGCGGCGUGCUUAACACAUGCAAGUCGAACGCUGAAGCUCAGCUUGCUGGGUGGAUGAGUGGCGAACGGGUGAGUAACACGUGAGUAACCUGCCCUCUUCUUUGGGAUAACGCCCGGAAACGGGUGCUAAUACUGGAUAUUCACUGAUUCUCGCAUGGGGGUUGGUGGAAAGGUUUUUUCUGGUGGGGGAUGGGCUCGCGGCCUAUCAGCGUGUUGGUGGGGUGAUGGCCUACCAAGGCUUUGACGGGUAGCCGGCCUGAGAGGGUGACCGGUCAAAUUGAGACUGAGACCCGGCCCAGACGCGUACGAGAGGCAGCAGUGGGGAAUAUUGCACAAUGGGCGAGAGCCUGAUGCAGCGACGCCGCGUGAGGGAUGGAGGCCUUCGGGUUGUAAACCGCUUUCGCUGAUGGUCAAGCCGCAGAUUUGGGUUGUGGUGAGGGUAGUGGGUAAAGAAGCGCCGGCUAACUACGUG
rnacentral:rRNA from 1 species